GAUGAACGCUGGCGGCGUGCUUAAUACAUGCAAGUCGAGCGAACGGACGCGUAGUUUGCUUCUUUGAUGUUUGCCGCAGACGGGUGUGUAACACGUGGAUAACCUACCUAUCAGACUGGUAUACCUUCGGGAAACCGGCGCUUAUCCCGGAUAAUAUUUUGAACCGCAUGGUUCAAGAGUGUAAGACGGUCUUGCUGUCACUUAUAGCUGGAUCCGCGCUGCAUUAGCUAGUUGGUAAGGUAACGGCGUACCAAGGCAACGAUGCAUAGCCGAUCUGAGAGAGGGAUCGGCCACACUGGAACUGGGACACGGUCCAUACUCCUACGGGAGGCAGCAGUAGGGAAUCUUCCGCAGUGGGCGAAAGCCUUACGGAGCAACGCCGCGUGAGUGAUGAAGGUCUUGGGAUCGUAAAACUCUGUUAUGAGGGAAGAACAUAUGUGUAAGUAACUGUGCACAAAGUGACGGUACCUAAUCAGAAAGCCACGGCUAACUACGUG
rnacentral:rRNA from 1 species